rnacentral:rRNA from 1 species
UCGAACGGAAAGGCCCCUUUGGGGGUGCUCGAGUGGCGAACGGGUGAGUAACACGUGGGUGAUCUGCCCUGCACUUCGGGAUAAGCUUGGGAAACUGGGUCUAAUACCGGAUAGGACCAUGCCAUGCAUGUGGUGUGGUGGAAAGCUUUUGCGGUGUGGGAUGGGCCCGCGGCCUAUCAGCUUGCUGGUGGGGUGAUGGCCUACCAAGGCGACGACGGGUAGCCGGCCUGAGAGGGUGUCCGGCCACACUGGGACUGAGAUACGGCCCAGACUCCUACGGGAGGCAGCAGUGGGGGAAUAUUGCACAAUGGGCGCAAGCCUGAUGCAGCGACGCCGCGUGGGGGAUGACGGCCUUCGGGUUGUAAACCUCUUUCAGUGCCGACGAAGCGUAAGUGACGGUAGGCACAGAAGAAGCACCGGCCAACUACGUGCCAGCAGCCGCGGUAAUACGUAGGGUGCGAGCGUUGUCCGGAAUUACUGGGCGUAAAGAGCUCGUAGGUGGUUUGUCGCGUUGUUCGUGAAAACCGGGGGCUUAACUCUCGGCGUGCGGGCGAUACGGGCAGACUGGAGUACUGCAGGGGAGACUGGAAUUCCUGGUGUAGCGGUGGAAUGCGCAGAUAUCAGGAGGAACACCGGUGGCGAAGGCGGGUCUCUGGGCAGUAACUGACGCUGAGGAGCGAAAGCGUGGGGAGCGAACAGGAUUAGAUACCCUGGUAGUCCACGCCGUAAACGGUGGGUACUAGGUGUGGGUUUCCUUCCUUGGGAUCCGUGCCGUAGCUAGCGCAUUAAGUACCCCGCCUGGGGAGUACGGCCGCAAGGCUAAAACUCAAAGGAAUUGACGGGGGCCCGCACAAGCGGCGGAGCAUGUGGAUUAAUUCGAUGCAACGCGAAGAACCUUACCUGGGUUUGACAUGCACAGGACGCGUCUAGAGAUAGGCGUUCCCUUGUGGCCUGUGUGCAGGUGGUGCAUGGCUGUCGUCAGCUCGUGUCGUGAGAUGUUGGGUUAAGUCCCGCAACGAGCGCAACCCUUGUCUCAUGUUGCCAGCACGUGAUGGUGGGGACUCGUGAGAGACUGCCGGGGUCAACUCGGAGGAAGGUGGGGAUGACGUCAAGUCAUCAUGCCCCUUAUGUCCAGGGCUUCACACAUGCUACAAUGGCCGGUACAAAGGGCUGCGAUGCCGUGAGGUGGAGCGAAUCCUUGUUAAAGCCGGUCUCAGUUCGGAUCGGGGUUUGCAACUCGACCCCGUGAAGUCGGAGUCGCUAGUAAUCG